UAUCUGUGCAAUUAUUAUUACAUUUUUCAACGCAGCAUAACGUAAAGUACACACACACACAUCACACACAAUUUAUAAUGAAAAUAGUGCUAUACUACCCAUUUUAGAGGGAGAGAGAGAGAGCUGGGAUCACACCUUAAGAACUUCUCGGAUGCCUGAUUUCAGUCAGAUUUCAAAUCAAUUUCUGCUCUGCUACGUAAAUAAUUUUAUGACGCAACUAUUUUACCGAGAACAUAAUUUUCGGGAAAUAAAUGUAUUUGAAACGUC